rnacentral:rRNA from 1 species
UACGAAGGGGGCUAGCGUUGUUCGGAAUUACUGGGCGUAAAGCGCACGUAGGCGGGCAUUUAAGUCAGGGGUGAAAUCCCAAGGCUCAACCUUGGAACUGCCUUUGAUACUGAAUGUCUUGAGUACGGGAGAGGUGAGUGGAAUUGCGAGUGUAGAGGUGAAAUUCGUAGAUAUUCGCAAGAACACCAGUGGCGAAGGCGGCUCACUGGCCCGUAACUGACGCUGAGGUGCGAAAGCGUGGGGGGCAAACAGG